ACGAACGCUGGCGGCGUGCCUAAUACAUGCAAGUCGCGCGAAGUUUUUCUGGUGCUUGCACUAGAAAAACUUAGCGGCGAACGGGUGAGUAACACGUAAAGAACCUGCCUCAUAGACUGGGACAACUAUUGGAAACGAUAGCUAAUACCGGAUAACAGCAUUAACUGCAUGGUUGAUGUUUAAAAGUUGGUUUUGCUAACACUAUGAGAUGGCUUUGCGGUGCAUUAGCUAGUUGGUGGGGUAAAGGCCUACCAAGGCGACGAUGCAUAGCCGACCUGAGAGGGUGAUCGGCCACACUGGGACUGAGACACGGCCCAGACUCCUACGGGAGGCAGCAGUAGGGAAUCUUCCGCAAUGGGCGAAAGCCUGACGGAGCAACGCCGCGUGAGUGAAGAAGGAUUUCGGUUCGUAAAGCUCUGUUGUUAGGGAAGAAUGAUUGUGUAGUAACUAUACACAGUAGAGACGGUACCUAACCAGAAAGCCACGGCUAACUACGUG
rnacentral:rRNA from 1 species